CCAGACUCCUACGGGAGGCAGCAGUGGGGGAUAUUGCACAAUGGGGGGAACCCUGGUGCAGCGACGCCGCGUGGGUGAAGGAGCGUUUCGGCGCGUAAAGCCCUAUCGGCAGGGAAGAAGGAGGACGGUACCUGACUAAGAAGCCCCGGCUAACUACGUGCCAGCAGCCGCGGUAAUACGUAGGGGGCAAGCGUUAUCCGGAUUUACUGGGUGUAAAGGGAGCGUAGACGGCAGCGCAAGUCUGAAGUGAAAUGCCGGGGCUUAACCCCGGAACUGCUUUGGAAACUGAGCAGCUAGAGUGCAGGAGGGGCGGGCGGAAUUCCUGGUGUAGCGGUGAAAUGCGUAGAUAUCAGGAGGAACACCGGUGGCGAAGGCGGCCUGCUGGACUGCAACUGACGUUGAGGCCCGAAAGCGUGGGGAGCAAACAGGAUUAGAUACCCCGGUA
rnacentral:rRNA from 1 species